rnacentral:lncRNA from 1 species
CAGUAGCUAAGCAGAUUACAGGCAGCCACCAGUGCAAUGUCUACUAACUGUACUUGCAGUGACCAAUCGAGGAGUGGGCUAUGGAGCAAGCCCAGGGACUGCAACACAUGACCUCACGCCCAGGGCUAUGCCUACGGGGUAAGCAGCCUGCUGCUCACACACUAGCACGAGGGGAGAGGCCUGCCACCUUAAAGUAUGCCAUGAAUGCAGUACCCCAGGCACUUGUCCCCACAUCUCCCCGCUCUAACUGUGCUUUAAGGACCUCAGCCAGCAUUGCUGUUUUUCGUCUAGUGGCCUUUACAUGGUUACGUAAGCAUCUCACAACACAAGAAAAAAUUAUCACUAAAACAGUAGGGCCAGGGUAAUAGCAUUAUAAGGAUUAGUUAAUUUGGCUAUCAGGUUUUUCCAGUGCUCCGUCAGUCCCUGGAAGAAAGAAGAGGUUGUCAAGAUAGACACCUUCAUCUCAUUGAUUUUGACAAUUGCCUUAGUAAGGUUUUGCGUAGUCAUAACACAUUAGCAUCCCAAGUGCCCUUAAUAUGCAGAGAAAAACUGGAGAAGUGUAAGGUUACAUUUUCAGAUACAGCAUAUUGGGUGACACAAAUACUAUGAAACUCAGGGUCACAAUGAGCCUCUGCAACAAAACAGAAUAUCUAGUUGUUCCUGGUGAGGUCUAGUUCUUGCUGAUGACUAAAAUAGCAGCUUGGAAGAUUUUAUUUAAGUCACUUUGAAUGGCAAAGGCUUCUGCCACGGCAGUGGACACAUUGUUCACAGUCUGAGCAGCCUGGAUACUCCACGUGAAUGAAGCAGUGACAGUGGUUGUGGUGGCAUUGGUGGUCACCAGGGCAGUAAUCCCAGAGAUGAUGUUAAUUGCACACCUUGUCUGUUGCAGGAUCUCAUUUAGAAGAUUCUUCAUCUCCAUGUCCCAUGGACUCCUCAACUCUGGACAGGGUCACUGGAAGCCAGAUUGCU